CCUACGGGCGGCAGCAGUGGGGAAUAUUGGGCAAUGGGCGCAAGCCUGACCCAGCAACGCCGCGUGAGGGAAGAAGGCUUUCGGGUUGUAAACUUCUUUUCUCAGGGACGAAGCAAGUGACGGUACCUGAGCAAUAAGCCACGGCUAACUACGUGCCAGCAGCCGCAGUAAUACGUGGGUGGCCAGCGAUAUCCGGAUUUACUGGGUGUAAAGGGCGGGUAGGCGGGACUGCAAGUCAGAUGUGAAAACCAUGGGCUCAACCUAUGGCCUGCAUUUGAAACUGUAGUUCUUGAGUACUGGAGAGGCAGACGGAAUGCGUGGUGUAGCGGUGAAAUGCGUAGAUAUUAGGAGGAACACCAGUGGCGAAGGCGGUCUGCUGGACAGCAACUGACGCUGAGGCGCGAAAGCGUGGGGAGCAAACAGGAUUAGAUACCCUUGUAGUC
rnacentral:rRNA from 1 species